rnacentral:rRNA from 1 species
GACGAACGCUGGCGGCGUGCUUAACACAUGCAAGUCGAGCGAGGGGCUUCGGCUCCUAGCGGCGAACGGGUGAGUAACACGUGGGCAACCUGCCCCGAGCUCUGGAAUAACUUCGGGAAACCGGGGCUAAUGCCGGAUAUGACACUACUGGGCAUCUGGUGGUGUGGAAAGAUUUAUCGGCUCGGGAUGGGCCCGCGGCCUAUCAGCUUGUUGGUGGGGUGAUGGCCUACCAAGGCGACGACGGGUAGCCGGCCUGAGAGGGCGACCGGCCACACUGGGACUGAGACACGGCCCAGACUCCUACGGGAGGCAGCAGUGGGGAAUAUUGCGCAAUGGGCGAAAGCCUGACGCAGCGACGCCGCGUGGGGGAUGACGGCC